rnacentral:rRNA from 1 species
GACAGAGGGUGCAAACGUUGUUCGGAAUUACUGGGCGUAAAGCGCGUGUAGGCUGCCCCGCAAGUCAGGUGUGAAAGCCCUGGGCUCAACCUAGGAAGUGCACUUGAAACUGCGGGGAUCGAGGGCUGGAGAGGGAAGCGGAAUUCUCGGUGUAGAGGUGAAAUUCGUAGAUAUCGAGAGGAACACCGGUGGCGAAGGCGGCUUCCUGGACAGUUACUGACGCUGAGACGCGAAAGCGUGGGGAGCGAACAGG